GGAAUAGUAGCUCAGUUGGUAGAGCACUGGUCAAUAUACCGUACCAGGGGUCAAUGGUUCGAAUCCAUUCUAUUUCU
rnacentral:tRNA from 1 species